UUGCCUCUUUUAUUCCUGCUACUGGCCGCCUUCCCGCGUUUGAGCAACACGGAACAAAUGUGAAAAUUUCAAACAAAAACACCGGUUUAUUACUCGCGCUCUCUCGCUCGUCCCCGUCUCUGAGAAACCAUGGCGGUAAACUUCGGUAAAAUUGUCGUGGGGAUAUACGUGGAGAUAAAACGGAGUGACGGGCGAAUACAUGAAGCCAUGGUAACGUCUUUAAACGAAGACAACGAAAGUGUUACUGUGGAGUGGAUAGAAAAUGGAGACACGAAAGGAAAAGAGAUUGAUCUAGAGUGUAUAUUUUCACUAAACCCAGAUGUUGCUCCAGAGGAGGAGAUUUCUCUGAGCCCUGUAACACCACCUCCUCCCACACCUACCUCUAUGAAGGUCAACAAGAUCCCCAAGAAUCGAAGGACUAUCGCACCUGGAAGGGCUGAGAUCCCAUCCAGAGACAAUAAAGUCGGAUCAACUCGGGCGCGUCCUGGCCAGCAGCAGCCGGAGUCAGCCCUCCCUCCACCUGCUCAGCAACCAGCUCAACCUACACAGUCCCAAACACAGCAGAGCCAACAACAGCUGCAAAAUGCGAGGAGGAAGUCCAACUGUGUGAAAGAGGUAGAGAAAAUGCAGGAGAAGAGAGAGAGGCGGCGACUGCAGCAGCAAGAGCUAAGGGAGAAGAGAGCGCAGGAGGUGGACACAACAGUCCCCAACUAUGAAAUUAUGCAGAUGAUCAGAGAUUUUAGGGCAAGCCUGGAUUACAGACCACUAACCACAGCGGAUUUGAUUGAAGAGCACCGAAUAUGUGUUUGUGUGAGGAAGCGCCCUCUUAACAAAAAAGAACUCACUGCAAAGGAGCUGGAUGUGCUCACCAUCCCCAGUAAAGAUGUCGUCUUGGUCCAUGAGCCUAAGCAGAAAGUGGACCUCACCCGAUACCUAGAGAAUCAAACCUUUCGCUUUGAUUAUGCCUUUGACGACAGUACAUCAAAUGAAAUGGUUUACAGGUUUACAGCAAGACCUUUAGUGGAAACGAUCUUUGACAGAGGAAUGGCUACAUGCUUUGCGUACGGCCAAACCGGAAGUGGGAAAACGCACACCAUGGGUGGAGAUUUUUCUGGAAAGAACCAGGAUUGCUCAAAAGGAAUCUAUGCAUUAGCUGCUCGUGAUGUUUUCCUUAUGCUGAAGAAACCCAACUACAAGAAGUUGGAUCUUCAAGUCUACGCAACCUUCUUUGAAAUUUACAGUGGAAAGGUGUUUGACUUGCUGAACCGUAAAACAAAGCUGCGUGUACUGGAGGAUGGGAAACAGCAGGUGCAAGUGGUUGGGCUGCAGGAGAAAGAGGUCAGAUGCACUGAAGAUGUCCUCAAGCUCAUUGAGGUCGGAAACAGCUGCAGAACUUCAGGACAGACUUCUGCCAACGCUCACUCGUCCCGAAGCCACGCUGUCUUCCAGAUUAUUCUGCGCAGGAAGGGGAAGAUGCACGGCAAGUUUUCAUUGAUUGACCUGGCAGGGAACGAGCGUGGCGCUGAUACAUCCAGUGCUGACCGCCAGACACGGCUGGAGGGAGCAGAGAUCAACAAGAGCCUACUUGCACUGAAGGAGUGUAUUAGAGCCCUGGGGCGGAACAAACCGCACACGCCGUUCAGAGCCAGCAAACUUACGCAAGUGCUCAGAGACUCGUUCAUCGGCGAGAACUCAAGGACGUGCAUGAUUGCCACCAUUUCUCCUGGAAUGGCUUCCUGUGAAAACACUCUGAACACACUACGAUAUGCCAACAGAGUGAAGGAGCUGACCGUGGACCCGAACACCAUGGCUGAAGGAGUACGACCCAACAUCAACGCCAUCACCGAGCUGGACAUCAUGGAGGAGGAGUGGGAGCUGAGUAGCUCCCCUCAGAGAGAUGACCUCAAGCUGCUCUGUGAACAGAAUGAAGAGGAAGUGUCUCCUCAGCUCUUCACCUUCCAUGAGGUGGUGUCCCAACUGGUGGAGAUGGAGGAGCAGGUACUGGAGGACCACCGAGCAGUGUUUCAGGAGUCAAUUAGAUGGCUGGAGGAUGAGAAGGUUCUGCUGGAGAUGACUGAGGAGGUGGAUUAUGAUGUAGACUCCUACUCUUCCCAGCUUGAGCACAUACUGGACCAGAAGAUCGACGUCCUGAUUGAGCUCAGAGAUAAAGUGAGGUCGUUCCGCUCAGCCCUGCAGGAAGAGGAACAAGCCAGUAAGCAGAUCAAUCCCAAGAGGCCUCGGGCUUUGUAGACUGGGACUAAGGGCACAAGCAUGAUGGCUAGACAUUUGACAUCAGUUUCAGCAAAUACCAAAUAACCACAAUGUGCAUCUGUACUAGACGACCUGCUAGUGUCCGGCAGAGUUACUCCGAAUUUGAAUGUCUCUUUCUUUGGCUCACGUGUGAAAUAUUCAAAACAUUAGACCAUUGCAUUGAUGUACUGCAUUGCUUUAAGUGGACUGCUGAUCUUCAGGUCAGGCAGAAGAAUUGGCAAUCAUGCCCAUCUACUAAUGAAACAUCACACACAAAAUUACACUGAAUUACAUUUUGAAGAUCAGCAUGUGCCUUAAGACAACUGUACAAGCACAGCCAUUCAGAUAAGCAAGUGGAAUUUGUAUUCUGGUUGAAAAAUUGGAGUGAAACUCUGCGGUAGAUUUGGGAAAUAGAUUUAUUUUCUUUGUAUUUUAUUUUUAUUUAUUUACUUUGUUUGUAAGUUUAGGUAAAUGGCUGUUAACUACACUGUCCAUUUUUUAAAGGGUCUUUAACACCACCUUCUUUGUUUGAAGCAUGUGCUUUUAGUAACCUGUUCCCCAUUCUCCAUUCCCAGCAUGGCAGACCAGGCCCAUCUGCACUUUAUAUAGCCCUGUUUCUCUAGGGGUCUAAUGCUGGACCUCGUUGUAUUAAUCGAUCGUUUCCUUUCGGAAGGGUUAAUUAUGUCUAUCAGUGUUUGUUUCAGUCACACUGUUCAACUUUCAAUUGUCUGAAUGAAUGAUCUCAAGGAGGUUGCUGCUGCUCUGGGGUAGCCUCAGGAAAGUGACAGAUCACCCAACCUCACUCGAGCCGUGCACUAGGGAGACGACUUUAGAACCAGCUAGUCAGACAGACAAAAAAACAAAACAAAAACAUAUAUAGCUACACUAUUAAUAAAGUCGCUUUUGUGUAUGUUGUAUUUUUUAGAUAAGCAGGAGUACUCUGACCUGGUGAGUUUGCUUCAUUGAAAACAAGACUGUUAUAUGUGGUAUGGGGAAAUUUUAACAAAAAUAACAAACACAAAUCUUAUUCUUUGAUGCAUCUUAUGUAAGCAAACAGGACAGGAACAUUAGCCAGUAUUUUCAGUUGUACCUAUGGUACACAUCACGCAUUGGUACCAGUACUUAUUCGUACAGGUAUUGAGAAUUUGAUGGUACUGACACAACUCUAUGAAAGCACUAGAACAAUAUUUAUGUACAACACAAGAUUUUCUUGGGAUGUUCCUAUAUAUAGCAUUAUAUCAAUCUGUCAGACGUGUGUAUGUAGGGUUUGUUUCCAGAAGUCGCUUAAUCACAGGAACCACACCACCUUAGUCCUGUUAUAGCCUGCUAAAAGAAAUGUAUUCCAACAGGUGCAAGGGUUCCUUGUGCCAAUUUUCCUCUUUUAUGGAGGUAACAGAAGAGAAGUAUAACCACCGCACCGUCUCCUUUAGAUCAAUAAAAUCAGUUACGUUUGUCAUUCGAGCAUCAGCUUUUCUUCCACUCCUCCGCCGGUUACUGAUACAGCCUGAGAAUUCCCAGCUUCUCUCUUAACGUUUCAUGUUUUCAUUUCAGUUCUUUUCAAAUUAGAGGUGAGAACGUUUAGGCGCCAACGUAAUUUCGAUUCAGGCAGCAACACUGCGAUAACGAAAGUCAUUCUCAAUGCGUCUUGAUGAAUCUCGGUUCUAUACAUCGAGGCUUCUAUGUUGAACAGGAAGAGCAGACUGUUGCAAUGGAAUUUCCUUUGUUAGUUGUAUUCCCAAAAUCAUUUCUUGUUGUGACGGACUUCAGACAUGGCAUGCCUCCUGUCCAGAUUUAUUAUUAUUAUUAUUUUUUUGUCUUUCAUAAAAUCCAAAAUUCAAGUGGAAGGCAUGGAUCAGAGUUUGUUCAUCUUCAUGUUUGUUAGCUAGUUUCUAACGUGCUUGGUUCACAGUGAAUGGCAACAAUGUUGUAGCUUUUCAUUAAACAUGUAAUAAAUCUGUGAUCUGUGCAUGGAUGCAGAACCAUUUGAAGAGAGAAUCAAGAUAUUUUCACCCCUAUUUAAAACUGAAUUCACUGUUUAUAUACGAAGUUCUCAAACUGGCUUAAAACACAAUUUUGUCGAAAAAGUUUGGUUUAUUAUUGUACAUUUUAGGAUAAUGUAACACCUUGAGAUUAACAUGGAACUGAAGGCACACUAUAAAUAAAAUGUGUGAUCAUCAAUAUCACUAAACAAUCCAGCCUGUGAUGGCGCUUCAGGAAAAGUGGAUCCCAGCUGAGUUGAAUGCAUGAAGUAGUCUGAGGCGACAAAGAAACAAGAAGCAACAUUAAUUUAAAUUAAAACUGUAAUUAUUUUAGCUACAUCAAGAAUAACUGCAGUGAAAAAUGUAUUUGCAAGGUAUAUUCACUUACACCAUGAAGUCGUCUAUGUCCAUUGAUCGUGCCCGUUUUUCACUAAACUCAGCUUCCUGUAGAACGCUCUCAAGUUUCUGGGUAAUGCUGAAGUCCUGUGGUACUUCCUAUUAAUAUAGGAUUAGAAUGGCCCACAAUCAAAUGUCUGACCCCAAAUGUGCCAAAAUAUAUUAACAGCACCACAGAGAACCUACGAGCAAUUUUAGAUAAUCUAGCAUAAAUAAUUUUCUGAUGAAUAGUGGGAGUAACUGUUUACUUACUAUACUGUGCAUGGAGCAAUGAAUUAUGUAGUUCUUCUCCAAAAGCUGCUCAACAGCAGCAGACCUGGGGGAGAACAAUACAAGAUAGAACUGAAAAUGUUUGCUUUUAGGUACAACUGAGAUGUCAAGUCGUUAAACUGAAAUAAAUACUUACUUGAAGGCUG